GCCCUGCUAGCUCAAUCGGUAGAGCGUGAGACUUUUACGACUUGGGUGGUUUCGCUGCUUAGUUUGCUCUGGUUUAUUAUGGAAUCUCAAGGCUGCGGGUUCGAGCCCCGCGUGGGGCU